rnacentral:rRNA from 1 species
GACGAACGCUGGCGGCGUGCUUAACACAUGCAAGUCGAACGGUAAGGCCCUUCGGGGUACACGAGUGGCGAACGGGUGAGUAACACGUGGGUGAUCUGCCCUGCACUUCGGGAUAAGCCUGGGAAACUGGGUCUAAUACCGGAUAGGACCACUGCCUGCAUGGGUGGUGGUGGAAAGCUUUUGCGGUGUGGGAUGGGCCCGCGGCCUAUCAGCUUGUUGGUGGGGUGAUGGCCUACGAAGGCGACGACGGGUAGCCGGCCUGGGAGGGUGACCGGCCAGACUGGGACUGCGAUACGGCCCAGCCUCCUACAGGAGGCAGCAGUGGGGAAUAUUGCACAAUGGGCGCAAGCCUGAUGCAGCGACGCCGCGGGAGGGAUGACGGCCUUCGGGUUGUAAACCUCUUUCAGCACCGACGAAGCGCAAGUGACGGUAGGUGCAGAAGAAGGACCGGCCAACUACGUGCCAGCAGCCGCCGUAA